UUGAAAAAAAUAUUUUUAUUUUCUAUUCAUUGUUAGGACUGGUCAACUGCUUUCAAGGUCGAAGAAAGCAUAAUCGCAUUAUGAUAUCAGGUGGAUGGAUCAUGUAUUAAAGGAUCAUAAAUCGAUGAGCAAAGUAAUUUAUGAGCUAAAAGUAGAACAAAUUCAUCUCAGGAAAAAAGGACUUAGAGUGCUAAUCCUUUCGGCGUCAAUUCUUCUCCACACAGAAUUCAGACUUGGAGAGGAUUUGGAUAAAAUUCAUAUCCAUAGAUGAGAUGACAAGUGACAACUUUUACUAAAUCUUCGAAGAAGUGUCCAAUCAUGAAGGAUGGGUGUUUGUUGCAGAGCUGCUCCUGGAGGAGAUCUGGCAUUGCUGAGUCGCUGUUCAAUGCAGUUGGUCCAGUAGCAGGAAGAUUUGUCCAGUCAUCGUACCUUUAACACGUCGCGAAAAAUCGCAAAUUUCUAUUCCAGGGAAGAAACUUUCAUCUAUUUAAAGAGAUAGAGAGAGUAUGGUGUCAUCGUAUACCUUUAACACGUUGCGAAAAAUCGCAAUAGUGUUUUUCAGUCCAUGCCCAAUAAACAACUUGAAGGACAGGAAGGAUGUGGAAGAAGAAAAGUGGUCCCUGCAUACUUUUUUUUUAUAAAAUUUUUUGUUUUCUUUUUUCUUUUUUUUUAUAAAAUUUUUUUUAACGCUCCCGGCCUCGCGCAGAAGUGCGCGCAAGACAGAGGGAUCCUCGGGAGCAGACCUGAAGCGCUCGAGAAGUGGCGAUGUAACUUUUGCCCCGACGUGGGAUUCGCCGAUCGGUGAGUCCUGUUUUAUUUAACCCCUUCCCUGUUUAAAAUAGUCAUUUUUUUUAUAAAUUCAAAUUAAAUAGAUUCAUAAAUUGAAAAUUAAUUUCUAUCUAUUUAAUAUAAAAAAAAUUAGAUAUACUUAAUUUUUGAAUUUUCUUCAUUUUUUUAAUAAAAAGUAGAUUUUUAUUUUAAGUAAAAUAUUAAAAUUUAAUAAAAACAGGGAAGGAAUUCUGACAACAUGGUGACACCAUUGACAAUAUGUAUUAUUUUCUAGUAUUUUUUGGGAGUAAUCUAAAAAAAAAUGCAUUUGAUAUUUUUGGAAAUUUAGCCCCUCAAAAUUUCUAACACUCCCCACAUCCUAAAAUAUUACAUGUUUUGUGGAUUACUACCUUAAUACUAUGUAAAUUAAUAUUAUUGUCAAUGUUUUUUUAAUUAUUUAUAUAUGAGAAGCAAUUUUUUAAAAUCUAAUACAUUUUUGAAUUUUUUUUGAAACAUGAUUUUUAUGAAUAAAAAUUAUGUUUGCAGAAAAUAUUUAAAGAUGGAUUAAUUAGGUUUUGAAAAAAUGCUCCUCAUAUGUAUGUUAUUUAUUUACUGUAUGUUCAAUAUUUUUAAUGUUUUGUAAUUUUUCUGAUAGAGUCAAAGUAACUUUCUUUCCAUAAAAAAAGUAAAUUUAAAGUAAAUUUAUUAAAUUUUAUUAACUUAACUUAAAUAAUCAAAUUAAUUGAUUUUGUUAACAAUUUAUCAAUUUGGAUAGUAAAUUUUAAAUUUAAUUCUCAAAAAUUGAAAGUUAAUGCAUGUGAAAUUAAAAAUUUUAUAGUUUUUGAUAAUUUUUUAAUGAUGCACUAAUUAAAUAUUUUCUUUUCAGAAAAGAUCGCUCAGGUGACGGUUGCGUCCCGGGACGUUAACACUAGUGUAGGUCAUUUUGCACCUGGGCGGUAUUAGUUUCGUUCAGAAUAUAAAUUUAGGCAGAAAAUUCGGGAAAAAUAGGCAUUUAUGUUCGUUUUAAAUAUAGCCAUAGGUAGGGAAAUCGGGUAAAAAAAUGUAAGUAAAAAAAAAGUAGCUGGAGUACCAGUGAAAAUUUACUUUAUUUCAAUGUUUCAUUUUUUUGUCACUAUGUUGUCUUAUAUUUUAAUGUUCUGUGAAUGUUUGUUAAGUGUUUUGUUCUGUUUACUAAAUGUUUUGUGAAUGUUUUGUUUAAUUGUUCAUUAUUUUCAGUUGAUUCAUCGUGGUGAGAAAUAAUAUUUCUUUUUAAUUAAAAUAAUCAUUUAUUUUUUUCAGGAAUAUGUAAUUUAUUAUAUUUUUAAUAUAUUAAUCUAUAUUUAUCUAUAAUUAUAUUUAUAUUUUAAUCUAUAUUUAUCAUAUAUGAAAAUUUUAUUACUAUUACAAAAAAUUA